rnacentral:misc_RNA from 1 species
GAAAUGCGAUAAGUAAUGUGAAUUGCAGAAUUCAGUGAAUCAUCGAAUCUUUGAACGCACAUUGCGCCCGCCAGUACUCUGGCGGGCAUGCCCGUUCGAGCGUCAUUUCAACCAUCAAGCCCCCGGCUUGUGUUGGGGACCUGCGGCUGCCCGCAGGCCCUGAAAAACAGUGGCGGGCUCGCUGUCACACCGAGCGUAGUAGCAUACAUUCUCGCUCAGGGCGUGCUGCGGGUUCCGGCCGUUAAACGACCUUCAUAACCCAAGGUUGACCUCGGAUCAGGUAGGAAGACCCGCUGAACUUAAGC